UCCACGAGAGUCUCGACGACACCGUCCACGCCGGCCCCACUGCAAUAUAGAAAAUCCACGGUGCAGUCGGAGCUUUGAAGUUGGGCGAAGCGAAGAGACUGGUAAGGGAGAGGGAGGCAUGGAAGAGAGCCAAGCACCGGUGAUGGCGGAGGGAGGUGGUGAGGAUAAGAAGAUGAAGGUGUUGGUGGCGGUAGAGGAGACCGAAGGGAGCUUAUAUGCGCUGUCAUGGGCACUCGAUAAUCUCUUCACGUCCGCCAGCGAUGUGCCGGACAAGACGGAAUCGCUGGGCAGACUCGUCCUUAUCCACGCGCAGCAGCCACUGCAGCACUUCAUGCACCCAGUUGGACCAUGCAUGACUGAUCCCCAUCACCGUUCUUUUUCUGUUCUUUUCAGUACAAGAGAGUACCAUGUUUACAGGGAGAAGUAAUAAACUAUGACCAAGAAUUACAUGUCUUGCAUUGUUGCAGCCGUUUAUGCCACCUCGUCGGUGAUAGACUCCGUGAGAAGGGCGCAAGAGCAGAACUCACGCAAUUUGCUCGAGAGAGCGACGCAAGUUUGCAGAAGCAAACUAGUCGAAGCGGAAAUGGUCAUCGUAGAUGGGGAUCCAAAGGAGAUGAUAUGCCAGUUCGCGGAACAAAUGCAAGCCGACCUCCUUGUGGUGGGGAGUCGCGGUCUAAGUAAGAUCAGGAGGGCAAUCCUGGGCAGCGUGAGCGACUACUGUGCUCAUCACGCAACAUGUCCCGUCCUCAUCGUGAAGCCACCCAAGGGAAAUCAUCCGUAGCGUAGCUUGGAUGAUAAUGGUAGAUUUGGAAACGAAUGGAUGUAUUUAGAACCUUCUGUUGUGUGGUAUGAAUGAUGGUGUCUUCGAGUGAUCUCUUUGUAAACGGCGGAUCAUA